rnacentral:misc_RNA from 1 species
GAUGAAGAACGCAGCGAAAUGCGAUACUUGGUGUGAAUUGCAGAAUCCCGUGAACCAUCGAGUCUUUGAACGCAAGUUGCGCCCGAAGCCAUUAGGCCGAGGGCACGCCUGCCUGGGCGUCACACGUCGUUGCCCCCCCAUCUACUCCUUCGGGAUUGCGGGGGGCGGGUGAUGGCCUCCCGUGCGCCUCGCCGCGCGGUUGGCAUAAAUGCCAAGUCCUCGGCGACGCACGCCACGACAAUCGGUGGUUGCGAAACCUCGGUUGCCCGUCGUGUGCGGUCGUCGCGCAUCGAGGGCUCGAAAAAAUUGCCGGGUUCCGGCUCGGCUUUCAACGCGACCCCAGGUCAGGCGGGGUUACCCGCUGAAUUUAAGCAUAUCAAUAAGCGGAGGA